rnacentral:tRNA from 1 species
AUUUAAAUAGCUUAAGAAGAGCAUAACAUUGAAGCUGUUAGGGUAAAUAUAUUUUUUUUAAAUA